AUAGGUGGGAGGCUUUGAAACCAGGACGCCAGUUUUGGCGGAGCCAUCCUUGGGAUACCACCCUUGUAGUACUGGGACUCUAACCAUAGGCCAUGAAUCUGGUCUUGGGACACUGUCAGGUGGGCAGUUUGACUGGGGCGGUCGCCUCCCAAAAGGUAACGGAGGCGCUCAAAGGUUCUCUCAGUACGGUCGGAAAUCGUACGUAGAGUGUAAAGGCAAAAGAGAGCUUGAUUGCAAGACAUACAGGUCGAGCAAGGAUGAAAAUCGGACUUAGUGAUCCGGUGGUUCUGCGUGGAAGGGCCAUCGCUCAACGGAUAAAAGCUACCCUGGG
rnacentral:rRNA from 1 species